rnacentral:rRNA from 1 species
AUUGAACGCUGGCGGCAUGCCUUACACAUGCAAGUCGAACGGUAACAGGUCUUCGGAUGCUGACGAGUGGCGAACGGGUGAGUAAUACAUCGGAACGUGCCUAGUAGUGGGGGAUAACUACUCGAAAGAGUGGCUAAUACCGCAUGAGAUCUACGGAUGAAAGCAGGGGAUCGCAAGACCUUGUGCUACUAGAGCGGCCGAUGGCAGAUUAGGUAGUUGGUGGGAUAAAAGCUUACCAAGCCGACGAUCUGUAGCUGGUCUGAGAGGACGAUCAGCCACACUGGGACUGAGACACGGCCCAGACUCCUACGGGAGGCAGCAGUGGGGAAUUUUGGACAAUGGGCGCAAGCCUGAUCCAGCAAUGCCGCGUGCAGGAUGAAGGCCUUCGGGUUGUAACUGCUUUUGUACGGAACGAAAAGCCCUGGGUUAAUACCCUGGGGUCAUGACGGUACCGUAAGAAUAAGCACCGGCUAACUACGUGCCAGCAGCCGCGGUAACAC